rnacentral:rRNA from 1 species
UACGAAGGUGGCAAGCGUUACUCGGAAUUACUAGGCGUAAAGGGCAGGUAGGUGGUUUGGUAAGUCUAUUGUGAAAGCUCCCGGCUUAACUGGGAGAGGUCAAUGGAUACUGCCGGACUUGAGUAUAGGAGAGGUUACUGGAAUUCCCGGUUUAGCGGUGAAAUGCGCAGAGAUCGGGAGGAACACCAAUGGCGAAAGCGGCUCACUGGACCACAACUGACGCUGAGGCGCGAAAGCUAGGGGAGCAAACAGG